UUCGGGUCUGUGGUUGCAAGUCGAAGCCAGUCGCAGGCAAAACGAUCCACGUAAGCGGACCAAAGCGUCCGUGAGCACGGUGCGGCUUAGGAGUAAGUCCGGCCGGCGGUAUUCCGUCGAGAGGGGCAGUAGUGGGGAGCAAUGCUUAUGAGCGAACCCUCCUGCCGGCGAGUGUGGGGUCAAAGACCAGGUCAGCCGAA
rnacentral:ncRNA from 1 species